UACGUAGGUGGCAAGCGUUGUCCGGAUUUAUUGGGUUUAAAGGGUGCGUAGGCGGCCCUGUAAGUCAGUGCUGAAAUAUCCCGGCUUAACCGGGAGGGUGGCAUUGAUACUGCAGGGCUUGAAUGAAGUUGAAGUGGGCGGAAUUGACGGUGUAGCGGUGAAAUGCUUAGAUAUCGUCAAGAACACCGAUAAUGAAGACAGCUCACUAAGCUUAUAUUGACGCUGAGGCACGAAAGUGUGGGGAUACAAACGGGAUUAAGAGU
rnacentral:rRNA from 1 species